rnacentral:rRNA from 1 species
UGGGGAAUUUUGGACAAUGGGCGAAAGCCUGAUCCAGCAAUGCCGCGUGUGUGAAGAAGGCCUUCGGGUUGUAAAGCACUUUUGUCCGGAAAGAAAUCCUUGGCUCUAAUACAGUCGGGGGAUGACGGUACCGGAAGAAUAAGCACCGGCUAACUACGUGCCAGCAGCCGCGGUAAUACGUAGGGUGCAAGCGUUAAUCGGAAUUACUGGGCGUAAAGCGUGCGCAGGCGGUUUGCUAAGACCGAUGUGAAAUCCCCGGGCUCAACCUGGGAACUGCAUUGGUGACUGGCAGGCUAGAGUAUGGCAGAGGGGGGUAGAAUUCCACGUGUAGCAGUGAAAUGCGUAGAGAUGUGGAGGAAUACCGAUGGCGAAGGCAGCCCCCUGGGCCAAUACUGACGCUCAUGCACGAAAGCGUGGGGAGCAAACAGGAUUAGAUACCCUGGUAGUCCACGCCCUAAAACGAUAUCAACUAGUUGUUGGGGAUUCAUUUCCUUAGUAACGUAGCUAACGCGUGAAGUUGACCGCCUGGGGAGUACGGUCGCAAGAUUAAAACUUAAAGGAAUUGACGGGGUCAUAGCUGUUUCCU